CGUGGCCCACAACAGAUCAGUUGCCCAGCCUUCUGUCACACUGUCUUGUAAGUGCUUUCAAGGAACUGCUGGGAUUAUUUGCCACAAGUCACAUGCUCAGUAUUGCUUGUUUUAUAGCUAAAAACAAUCCCUCGUCCCUGCUGUCACUGUUGUGCUUGUGAAUCAGAUUUAGCCUGACUGCUAUGGGAUGGGAAUGACUGUUGGGCCUGACUUCAGUGCUGGCCCAGCAGAGCCUGCAGCCGUGAGGCCUGAGAGGCCCUGUCCCACAGCAGGUACUGCGAAUGCAUCUGGGACAGGGUCUCAGCAGGAGCUGACCUCAGGAGAGGAUGUUCCUUUAGCUCUGGGCUUACUUCUCCUACCUGGAUCAAGCCACUCAUUUGAACCAGGCCUUCUUCCUUCCAUCUGUAUCCUGCGACCAUUAAACCCUGACAUCAGGAUCCCACACCAAUGA
rnacentral:lncRNA from 1 species